UACAGAGGUGGCAAGCGUUGUUCGGAAUUACUGGGCGUAAAGGGCGCGUAGGCGGCCUUCUAAGUCAGACGUGAAAUCCCCCCGGCUUAACCUGGGAACUGCGUCUGAUACUGGGAGGCUUGAGUAUGGGAGAGGGAUGUAGAAUUCCAGGUGUAGCGGUGAAAUGCGCAGAUAUCAGGAAGAACACCCGUGGCUAAGGCGGUUCUCUAGUACGGUACUGACGCUGAGACGCGAAAGCGUGGGGAGCGAACAGG
rnacentral:rRNA from 1 species